ensembl:lncRNA
CUAAACCUUGACUCUUUGAUUCCUUGUUAACAUUUCUGGUGUUAUUUAACUGCUUAAAAACGUACACUAAAGAAGGUUGUGGGAUAAAGUAUGGCUGCAUGUUCUCUUUCAUGUUCUCUUUUCCCAGAAGAUGUACCCAGAAAAGUAGUUCCAGGAAAGCAAGAGGAGGGUGCUUUUCUGUGAAUACAGCAAGUCUGGUGCAGUUAAUGCAGCAUCAAGAAAUGUAUGUUGAUGAUCCAGCCUCCAGCCUCCAAAGCCUCCUACAUUGUUCAUUGAUUCUCCAAGAAAACUGGCAUGAGUUACUGGUCUGUAAGGAAAUAAUAGGAGACUGCUUCCUUGGUAUGUAAGAACUGUUCUUCCAAACUCAUGUAUAAGACUGCGGAUUGGCUCUUCAACUGGCAAAAAUCACCAUUCUUCAGCUGAAGAAAAUGAAUCACCCAUUUUAAUGGCCAUAAGGAAUGUGGCACUCACAGAUCAACAAAGAUGCUACUGUCCUUUCUGCAGCAAUGCCCAGCCACCAUUUCCUUGCUGGUCUUGGAAAUCAAACUCCACAACGUGGGUACUGAGAAAAUGCUGGAAGAUGAGAGGACAGCAAGCUCUAUCUGUUCACACACAGUGGAGAGAGAUCAGAGAGCCAAAAGGUACACAAAAAAUGGGGGGAAAAAAAAGAGGCAAGGACAGAAAGAAAGGA